rnacentral:lncRNA from 10 species
CCGGAGGCUGAGGUGAGAAGAUCAUUUGAGCUCAAGAGUUAAAGGUUAGGGUGAACUGUGAUCAGGCUACUGCACUCCAGCUUGGGCAACAGAGUAAAAGCCUGUCUCUAAAAAAAAAAAACAUAUAUAUAUAUGGCUGGGCGUAGUGGCUCAUGCCUGUAAUCCCAGCACUUUAGGAGGCCAAGGUGGGUGGAUCACCUGAGGUUAGGAGUUUGAGACCAGUCUGGUCAACAUGGUGAACCCUGUCUCUACUAAAAACACAAAAAAUUAGCUGGACGUGGUGGCAGGUGCCUGGGUGCCUGUAAUCGCAGCUACUCGGGAGGCUGAGGUAGGAGAAAUGCUUGAACCCAGGAGGUGGAGGUUGCAGUGAGCUGAGAUCGCACCACUGCAUUCCAGCCUGGGCGACAAGAACGAAACUCUAUCUCAAAAUAUGUAUGUAUGUGUGUGUGUGUAUAUAUAUAUAUAUAUGUAUAUAUAUAUGUAUAUAUAUGUAUUUAUGUAUAUAUAAAUCAAAAUGAAAAACCUUUUUGGAUACUAAGAGCAACAAAAUUUAGGGAAGUAAUUUCUUAAGUAUAGAUUAAAACAAAUAUUUAUGCAGCCUGGUGACUAGAAGGCUGUUGUGUAACUAAACACCAUGAAACUUAAUAUUGCGAUAGUCCUCCCCACAUGAAGAGAGAGUGUGAGUGAUGAAGGGCCAUGUUCUUAUAUCUAUUAAAACUCAAGAGGGAAUUUGGUUGCAUAUGAAAGGACUUAGGUAUUAUAAAGGGUUAGAUACUUGGAAGAACUGCAAGUUUAAUAAGAUGCUGAAAUAAGUUGCCAACAGAAAUGUUGGUUAUUAAAAAAAAGAAAAAAGCAAGGGCUAGAUAGUUGUUUUUCUGGGAGAGUUGGAUGCAGAAAAACGACAUAGAUGACCACAGAGGUCCAUAAUCCACAAAUUAUAAGCAAUGGGUGUUUGUUUUUAUACCUUUAGGUUUCCUAAGAACAUUUAGAUUUUGCUUAAUAGGUUGGAAAAUUCAAGUAAUGUUAUUACUGAUUACAUUUUUCUUUUCUUGGAAUUUCCCUUAAAGAUAAUAUUGAGCCUUACUGGAAACCUCCCCAGGUCUUUCGAAGCCACAGUCCCCUCCCACUCUAGUGUAGGAAACUGAGAUAGCUCAGUGCUCAAGCCUGAAUUCUCUGUAGGUUCUAGAAUAAACAACCCUAAACUGCUUAUAACAGAGGAAUGAAAUGACUAAAAAGGAUGAGAGUCCUUCAGAGUUGUUCUGGUGACAUGGAAGAUAUUCCCUCAUGGUUUUUUUUUGUUGGUAUUGUUUAUGAUUUCAUUUGUAAGACAUUCAGUUAGUAUGGAGAAAGUUCUACCUGCUUUUUUUCCAUCUUCUUGUUUCUAAAGUUUAUCCUUUUUUUUUGGAGACAGGGUCUCACUCUUUCCCAGGCUGGAGUGCAGUGACAUGAUCACAGCUCACUGCAGCCUCGACCUCCUGGGUUCAAGCAAUCCUCCCAGCUCAGCUUCCCGAGUAGCUGGGACUACAGGGGUGUGCCACCAUACCGAGCUAAUUUAUUUUUUGGUUUUGUUUUUGUAGAGAUGGGAUCUCACUAUGUUACAGGCUGUGCUUGAACUCCAGGGCUCAAGCAGUCCUCCUGCUGUAGCCUCCUGAAGUGCUGGGAUUACAGGUGUGCGCCACCUUGCUCAGCCUCAUCCAUUCUUGUAGUCAAUAUUUUUUAAUGCCUACUAUGUGCCAGGUGCUAGAUAUACAGUGUAAACAAUGGUGAAGAAAACAGGGAUGAUCCCUGCUUUCAGGAAGCCCAGAGCCUUGUAGGGGAGUAGGCAUUAAACGAAUGAACAUGUAAUCUCAGCACUUUGGGAGGCCGAGGCAGGGGGAUCACCUAAGGUCAGGAGUUCGAGACCAGCCUGGCCAACAUGGUGAAAUCCUGUCUCUCCUAAAAAUACAAAAAUUAGCUGAGUGUGGUCGUGUGCACCUGUAAUCCUGGCUACUUGGGAGGCUGAAGCAGGAUAAUUGCUUGAACCCAGGAGGCAGAGAUUGCAGUGAGCCGAGAUUGCUCCACUGCACUCCAGCCUGGGCUAUAGAGUGAGAUUCUGUCUCAAAAAAAAAAAAAAAAGAAAAAAGAACUCACAAAUAAAUAAUCAUAUAUUGUGGUAAGUACUGUGGAGAAAGAGGACAGGAUAUUAUAGAAGAAAAGGGCAGGAAGGACAUGAUUUAAAGAAGGAGAUUGCAGGUAGCCUCUCUGAGGCAGAGAGCUGAAGAAAGAAGAGGAAUUUUUCUAGUGAGGAGUGGAGGAAGGGGGCCUGGUGGAGGAGUAGCAGCCUGUGCAAAGGCCCUGAGGCAGGAAUACCUGGGAAGUGGGGGCGUGCUUGUGUAAGAUGAGGCUGAAGAGGAAGGCGAGGCUUUACUUAGGAGGAAUGGUAAGCCACUGAGUGUUAAAAUUAAAAGCAGUGGGGGCUGGGCACAGUGGCUUACACCUAUAAUCCCAGUACUUUGGGAGGCCAAGGUGAUCCACCCGCCUCAGCCUCCAAAAGUGCUGGGAUUACAGGCGUGAGCCACCGCGCCCAGCCUUGUUUUGUUUUUUAAUGGAGAUGGGGUCUUGCUCUAUUGCCUAGGCUGGCGGGCAAUGGCUAUUCACAGGUGCAAUCAUAGCUCAUCGCAGCCUCGAACUCCUGGGCUCAAGUGAUCGUCCUACCUCAGCCUCCCAAGUAGCGGGGACUACAGAUGUGCCACCAUGCUUGACUGAAAGUGUUUUUCAAGUGCUGGGUACUUGUUAUUCCCUCUGGCUUCACUGCAUGUCUACCAGUAAGAGCUGGGAUAAAGGUUUACAGGAAGCUGGAGGUCCAAGUUUUUGGUAAAAGAAGAGAAGUAAUCAUAACUGAUGAUUGCUGAAAACAAGUCAGCAUCUUCUUGCUGCCUUGCCCCACUUUUUUCUUCCUUCCUUCCUUCCUUCUUUCCUUCUUUCCCUCCCUCCCUUCCUUCCUUCCUUUUUUUUUUCUUUUUUGAUGGAUUUUCGCUCUGGUUGAUCAGGCUGGAGUGCAAUGGUACGGUAUCAGCUCACUGCAACCUCUACCUCCCAGGUUCAAGCAAUUCUUAUGCCUCAGCCUCCCAGGUAGCUGGGAUUACAGGCAUGCACCACCACACCCAGCUAAUUUUUUUGUAUUUUUAAUAGAGACGGGGUUCUACCAUGUCGGUCAGGCUGGUCUUGAACUCCUGACCUCAGGUGAUCCACCCACCUCGGCCUCCCAAAGUGUUGGGAUUACAGGUGUGAGCCACUGCGCCCGGACCCCACUCUUUCUUUGUAGGACACAUUGACAGGGCAGGUGGUAAGCAUUGGUCUCAAAAUUAUCAGCCACAGCCAGAAUUGUGUACCUACUACAUUUCGGCCCUAGCCUAAAAAUGUACAAUAUGUCAACCAGCUUGCCUGGCUUCUGUGUGUUGCAGAUAGAUGAGGCAGCACUUGUCUUCCUGGAAUUAAUGAUAUUUAUCAGGAAAUGGGAUAAAAGGACAGCAUAAAGGGACAGCAAUGAAAAUUGGGGUCAUUCAGCAGCUUCCCAUCCAUCUUCCUUUUACUGUGGAAUGCAGUGUGGCUCCAAAGAGAAACAAACACCUUGUUUCUGGGAAGUUAGCAAGACCUUUGGCUCCCAUUUUAUUUCCUCUUCAAAGCUCAUUUAAUUCAAGGGCUUAUCUACUGGCCCUAAGAGAAUAACUUAGCUCAAAACAAAGGCAACUGCUGCUUAUUUUGCUCAUGAUUUGUAAGCCUGGCUGCCACCCCGCUGCCUGCCUGCAACACAUCUCUUGGUUCUGGACCAUGCCUAGUAAACAUUCUGGGUAAAUACGGGACGUUUCCUGGAGGCUCUGCUAUUGGCCUGCCACGUGAUAGAUGCUUUGUGUUAAGGCACAAGACAGUAUUUAUAAAGAUACCUACUCUUUGGAAUGUUGCAAAGUAAGAGAGGUUUAAGGGAAAGAAAUUGCAUAGCUAAAGUUAUGAAAUGCUAGCUGGAUCAUUACUACAGUGUUUUUUUUUUUUCUUUUCUUGGUUGUUGUUUUAGCGCCUCCAUCCUUUAUAGAUGAUUUAUAACUGGGAGAGUAUUAUUUACCCAGGUGGCUUUAACAUUUCCGUUUUAAAAUAGUAAAGCCAACUAGAUCCAAAAAUCAUCUGUGAUAUGGAAAAAGUUGGAUGUACAUUUGAGUGUAUGUCAUUAUCACAACUAUGUAAAAGGAAAAGUCCAGGGUAAGAAUCCUGGUGAGAAAUACAUGACAAUGGGCACCAUUCUUUCUUGCAUUUGUGGGUAUUUUCUCUGUGCUUCUUCUUCUCCAAGGCCAUUACUCACUUUUUAUGAUGCUGGCUUAUUUAUAAUUUUUUUUUUUUUUUGAGAUGGGGUCUCGCACUGUUGCCCAUGCUGGAGUGCAGUGGCACGAUCUUGGCUCACUGCAACCUCCGCCUCCCGAGUUCAAGCGAUUCUCCUGCCUCAGCCUCCCGAGUAGCUGGGACUACAGGUGCCCGCCACCAUGCCUGGAUAAUUUUUUGUAUUUUUAGUAGAGAAGAGGUUUCACCAUGUUGGCCAGGUUGGUCUCAAACUCCUGACCUCAUGAUCCGCCCACUUCAGCCUCCCAAAGUGCUGGGAUUACAGAUGUGAGCCACCAUGCCUGGCCCUGUUUUAUAAUUUUUAAAUAUUGCAAAACUAGGCUCUUCUAAUGAUUUUCAAGUCCUUUAUAUCCUUUUUCCCUUUCAAUUACAGAAUCCAAAUUAAAUAGCUGUUUGACGGUUCGUAUGAAGUACCUUAAGUGUGUACACAUUUUCAAUUCUAGGCAUUUAUCUUAAGGAAGUACUUAGAGAUAUGGCCAAAGAUUUAUGUUCGUGCAUUUUGAUAAAAAUGUUAUAUAUAAUUGUACAAAUUGAAAACAACAUAAAUAUCCAGCAAUAGAGGAAUAGUUAAAAUAUAAUGAGAUUUUAAGCAUCCAUUAGAAAAGCAAGUUUUGCUAAAAUGUUAUGAUGGAAAAAAUGCUUAUUAAAUAGUAAAAAGCUGUAAAACUAUUAUUUUGUAUGAGGCUGACAUUAUAAAACAUAUCAUCAAGAACCCCAGGAAGGCCGGGCUCAGUGGCUCAUGCCUGUAAUCCCAGCACUUUGGGAGGCUGAG